rnacentral:rRNA from 1 species
GACGAACGCUGGCGGCGUGCCUAAUACAUGCAAGUAGAACGCUUAAGGAGGAGCUUGCUUCUCUGGAUGAGUUGCGAACGGGUGAGUAACGCGUAGGUAACCUGCCUGGUAGCGGGGGAUAACUAUUGGAAACGAUAGCUAAUACCGCAUAACAGUAGAUAUCGCAUGAUAUCUACUUGAAAGGUGCAAUUGCAUCACUACCAGAUGGACCUGCGUUGUAUUAGCUAGUUGGUGAGGUAACGGCUCACCAAGGCGACGAUACAUAGCCGACCUGAGAGGGUGAUCGGCCAAACGGGGACUGAGACACGGCCCAGACUCCUACGGGAGGCAGCAGUAGGGAAUCUUCGGCAAUGGACGGAAGUCUGACCGAGCAACGCCGCGUGAGUGAAGAAGGUUUUCGGAUCGUAAAGCUCUGUUGUAAGAGAAGAACGAGUGUGAGAGUGGAAAGUUCACACUGUGACGGUAUCUUACCAGAAAGGGACGGCUAACUACGUG